rnacentral:misc_RNA from 1 species
GAGAGAGAGAUUUUCUAUAUUUUUAUAGGUUUCAUAAAUGUUAACUUGCCAGAGUAAAAGUGUACAAUUUAUUUAAAUAUUCUCUUUAAGAUUUUCAAAUCCUCCUUUCACCUUACACAUAUACAUGUGUGCAUAUUCAUCCAACAACACUGGGUGUUAAAGGAUAAUUCCACAUGUAAUCAAGAAAUUAUUCAACCUAAAAGCUCAAACUUA